rnacentral:tRNA from 1 species
GGCCCGUUAGUCAAGUGGUUAAGACAUCGCUCUUUCACAGCGAGUACGGUGGGUUCAAUUCCCCCACGGGUCACCA